UGGGGAAUAUUGCACAAUGGGCGCAAGCCUGAUGCAGCCAUGCCGCGUGUGUGAAGAAGGCCUUCGGGUUGUAAAGCACUUUCAGCGGGGAGGAAGGCGUUAAGGUUAAUAACCUUGGCGAUUGACGUUACCCGCAGAAGAAGCACCGGCUAACUCCGUGCCAGCAGCCGCGGUAAUACGGAGGGUACAAGCGUUAAUCGGAAUUACUGGGCGUAAAGCGCACGCCGGCGGUUUGUUAAGUCAGAUGUGAAAUCCCCGGGCUCAACCUGGGAACUGCAUCUGAUACUGGCAAGCUUGAGUCUCGUAGAGGGGGGUAGAAUUCCAGGUGUAGCGGUGAAAUGCGUAGAGAUCUGGAGGAAUACCGGUGGCGAAGGCGGCCCCCUGGACGAAGACUGACGCUCAGGUGCGAAAGCGUGGGGAGCAAACAGG
rnacentral:rRNA from 1 species